CGCCCCGUUCCGCCCCGCCCACUUCCUGCGCUCCGCCGCGCCGGGUGCCGGUUGGGCUCAAUAGACACGAGACGGCUGGUGCUGGAGUUGCGAGAGAGGACGCCGGGCUACGAGCGGAACUAGUUUUCGCAGAGUUGGAGUCUAGUCGUAUCUAAAUUCAGCAGGAAAUGGGAGCGCCGCGGUUUGGGGGAGGAGUCCGAGGCUAAUACGAAAUUUCGUGAGACCUUUGAACGGUUUUGGCGUCCGAGGUGAAGAGCGGAAGUGAAUAGAGGGUUUCUGGAGACGAGCUAAACUCAAGGUGACAAGGGAAAGAGGACGUGGGGCAGUGGGGCCGGGGUGUCAUGAAGAUUAAAUGGAUUCAUUCAUGUAAAGUGUCUGGCAGAAUUGUAAGCACUUGAUAAGUAUUACCUGUUAUUUUGACUGUUAUUAUUUAUACAUUGUCCUAGUAAAAUAUCUUGCAAAUGGUAAGUGCUCGACAAAUGCCUGAACCAUUGUUAAGAGUCCAGACAAGGAAAGCGUGACCUAUAUGUAAACCAAGAAUAGAAUGGACCAUAUGGAGAGAGAAAAAUGAGGUGAAGGAAGAGCAGGAUGACUGUAUUUACAAUAAAAUAAUUGUUUCUUUGGUGGAUAAUUUUACUGUAGUUAUUGCAAAUUGAUAGUUAUAUUAGAAGUAAAAGUAAGAAGAAACGAAUGGGUAUUUAUUCAGAUUGUCUCGAUUAUAAGGGUAGAUUUGAUUUUUCAAAAUUCAGUUGUCUGUUACUGGUCAUUGUGAAUUAGAGGGCAGAAAUCCAGAAAUCCCAGCCUAAACUUUCUAGAGUUUUGUCAUUAUCCAUAAAGACAUUAACUACAGCAGAAAAUUAGAUUCCAGUACUCUUUAUGGCUGUAGCAUCUUUUUUCCCCUGGGCCUACAUACCCUCACAUGCUCUAUAUCUGCUCUUAUAUUUCAUUUUCCCUGUCAACUCUCCUGCCAUUACCUCCCUUCCCAGCCUAGACUGCAUGGCUUAUCAACAUCCAAACUCCCUGCAUCCCUUGCCUCUGACCCCAGUGCCUGUCAAAAUCCUAACCCUGAAUCUGUCCCAUAAAUCCCCGCCCUGAAUCUGUCCCAUAAAUCCCCGCCCUGAAUCUGUCCCAUAAAUCCCCAGCUGGGCACUCUGGAGAAAAUCACGCAAAGUGAUAUACAACAGGUUCUUGGUCUGCAGCUUCAGCGCACCCCCAAUUCUUGACACUCCUUUAUCAUUUGUCAGUUCCCUGUCUUAUAACUUGCAGUGAUUUCUCAUAACUACCUGCGUCCUCAGUUUCACCUUCUCUUUUUAUUCGAAGGUGACUAGAGUAGUGUAAAAGAUAUUUUUCAAGCACUUAACACACAUUCACAUGCAUCUGUGACCUUUAUGCCAGUUUCUUUUCUAAUUUUAAUUCCAUGUUCCUUUUCUAGAUUGCACUUUAGAUCCUGGAUGACAGACCUGUAAGGACUGAGCAGACCUUUGACUGACAAGAUGGGAUGCUCAGUGAGACCAUGGCAGCCUGCAACUAGGACUUUAUCUUUAAUUCAGGUGGCGGUCCUGUGGUAGCUAGUGCUUUGGGUUAAAAUUUUUUAAAUCUCUUUUUUAAGUGACAAGAAUUCCAGAUUGUUGUUUCUGCUUUGUUUUAAGUGGGUCAGUGAGGAUGAACAGUUGAUUCACUUGGUCUAGUGUGGUAGGAAUAGAUAAAAUACUCAGACUGGGUCCUACACCCUCCUUGCCAUCAAGAACCCACUUAUUUGAAUAUAGAGAUUUCCCAGGGGCCACAGACAUUUCCAGCAACCUCGUUCCCGGUUAACUGAGAAAAUUCAAGCCAUCAUGCAGCAUAUUCCUUAACUUCCUGCCCACCCAUUUCCCUUACCACCACAUUUAUCUGCCUCUCUCUUAUUGAUCUCAGAAGAUGAAUAGUGCCUACUUCUCCUGUGCUAUUGAUCAGUGCCUCUUUCUAGACCUCUCCGCUACAUUUGACACCAUUAAUCAGACCCUCCUCGAAACCUAAGUCCCUUUGCUUCUCUCCUGUAUCUUCUGCCUAUCUCGUGCUUCUUAGGGGGCUCUUUCUCUGCCUGCCCUUUAUGCAGUAUAAGUUUCAACUUUGAGUUUUCUUUUUUUUUUUUUUGCAUAAAUCUUCUCCUUCAGAGUACCAUCCAUUCUCAUUGUUUUAAUCUAUUUGCUCAAGGAUCCAAAAACUACUGCUAUCUCUGACUUCCUCCUUGAGAUUCAGAUUUUUAUUUUCUUUCCUACUAGCUAGAUGCAUUUGGGAGGGCUCGUGAGCCAUUCAAAUCCUAAUUUAUCCCUUUCUUUUUUUCAACUGCCCAAUCUAUCUCACUGUUGUCUCCAGCCUUACAACCCUUACCUGCAUCCCCCACUUUGUCUUCUAAGUAGCUGCUGUAAUGAUCAGUCUUAAAUGUAAAUCUGACUAUUUCACUGGUCUGGUUAAACUUCUACAACCCCUCCCACCAUCACCUCCAAGACAAAGUCCAACUCCAUAGCCUGCACCCUGGGACCUCCAUGAUCUUGCCACUGUUUAUGUUUCCACUGUCAUCUCCCAUCACACCCAUUUCCCAUUCAUGAGGCUGUUUUAUACUUUGAGACCUUUUCUUAUUCUUGUUGACUCUGUCUGGACUGUCUUGAUUUUCUUUGCCUGAUCCCUACUUUCUUUACUUACUUUUCAGAUGUCUUCUAAGAAGCCUUUCCCUAAUCCACAGUCUGAACUAGUUGACUUUCCUUCUGACUUUCUAGGUAUAGAUUUAUUCAUUCAAAAAUAUUUAUUGAUCCUCUUAUUUUAUGCCAGACACUAAGCUAGGUACUGGAAGUAUAAUAAUGAACAAGCAAAUGUGAUAAUAAUCAAUCUAAUAAUUGACCUAAUAGAUCUUAUAUUCUCAUAGGGAAGGGAGAAAAGUAAUUAAAAAAAAAAUUGUGGUUUAGUCUGAGUGGCUCCAUGCAGGAGAAUAGCUAGGAAUUGGCCAGGUUAAAGGGUGGAGGGCAAGAAAGAGGUAACAACUGUGAAGGCCCAGACAUAAGAGGAGAGCACAGCCUAGGAACAGAGAUUCUAGACACAGGGCUGGGGAGGUAAAGAGGCACCAGAUCAUGAAGAGUAUUACUAGUCAUGUUAAGGCGUUUGGACUUCUUAAAAGUAAUAGGAAGUUUGAAGGGCUUCAACAAGAUUAGGUUUGUAUUUAGGUGAUGACUGGCUGCUAUGAGAAAAUAGAAUUGAAGAGUGGCAAGACUGAAGGAAGGAAAACCAGUUACGACCUCAUUGUAGUAAUCCAGGGGAAAGAAGACGGCAGCCUAUACUAGGGUAUUGCCAGCAUGCAUGGAAUUCAGGAAGUAGAAGUGGCAGGACUUGGUGACUGAAUUGGGAGGGCAGAGGUGAGAGAAAUCAAGGAUAGAGUUCCAUAAACAAGUUUUAGUGAGGACCCUAUUUGCUAUCAUAUGUUCAUGGCCUAGACGUCGUUAGACAUUGUAGAUGCUUGAUAAAUAUCUGCUGAGUGAGAGUUUUCUGGCUUGAGCCCCUAGAUAAAUGGGAUGCUAUUCUCUGAUUUAGGAAAUAUAGAGGUGAACUCAUUUUGGGAGGUGACUGAUGGUUGAGUUUUGGACAUGUAUAGCUCAAGAUGCCUGUGGGAGAUACAUAUGAAAAUGAUAGAUACAAUGCGAUUGGGAGAGAUCUCACGUGUAUUCUUUGUGUACUGAAAAAAAUAAAAGUUUAUACUUUAUUGAAAUGA